rnacentral:rRNA from 1 species
UACGAAGGGGGCUAGCGUUGUUCGGAAUCACUGGGCGUAAAGCGCACGUAGGCGGAUCUUUAAGUCAGGGGUGAAAUCCCGAGGCUCAACCUCGGAACUGCCCUUUGAUACUGGCGAUCUUGAGUCCGGGAGAGGUGAGUGGAACUGCGAGUGUAGAGGUGAAAUUCGUAGAUAUUCGCAAGAACACCAGUGGCGAAGGCGGCUCACUGGCCCGGUACUGACGCUGAGGCACGAAAGCGUGGGGAGCAAACAGG